rnacentral:rRNA from 1 species
CAGCAGCCGCGGGAAUACGAAGGGGGCUAGCGUUGUUCGGAAUCACUGGGCGUAAAGCGCACGUAGGCGGACUUUUAAGUCAGGGGUGAAAUCCCAAGGCUCAACCUUGGAACUGCCUUUGAUACUGGAAGUCUUGAGCUCGGGAGAGGUGAGUGGAACUGCGAGUGUAGAGGUGAAAUUCGUAGAUAUUCGCAAGAACACCAGUGGCGAAGGCGGCUCACUGGCCCGAUACUGACGCUGAGGUGCGAAAGCGUGGGGAGCAAACAGGAUUAGAUACCCCAGUAGUCCCUGUCUCUUAUAC